rnacentral:rRNA from 1 species
UACGUAGGGUGCGAGCGUUGUCCGGAAUUACUGGGCGUAAAGAGCUCGUAGGUGGUUUGUCACGUCGUCUGUGAAAUUCCGGGGCUUAACCUCGGGCGUGCAGGCGAUACGGGCAAUACUUGAGUGCUGUAGGGGAGACUGGAAUUCCUGGUGUAGCGGUGAAAUGCGCAGAUAUCAGGAGGAACACCAACGGCGAAGGCAGGUCUCUGGGCAGUUACUGACGCUGAGGAGCGAAAGCAUGGGUAGCGAACAGGAUUAGAUA